rnacentral:sRNA from 1 species
UCUGGGUGUGGUGGUGCGUGCCUAUAAUCCCAGUGACUGGGGAGGUUGAGGCAAGAGGAUCCCUAGUUUGAGGCUGGCCUGGGUAACUUAGUGAGUUCCUGUCUCAA